rnacentral:rRNA from 1 species
GACGAACGCUGGCGGCGUGCCUAAUACAUGCAAGUCGAACGCUUUUUCUUUCACCGGAGCUUGCUCCACCGAAAGAAAAAGGGUGGCGAACGGGUGAGUAACACGUGGGUAACCUGCCCAUCAGAAGGGGAUAACACUUGGAAACAGGUGCUAAUACCGUAUAACACUAUUUUCCGCACGGAAGAAAGUUGAAAGGCGCUUUUGCGUCACUGAUGGAUGGACCCGCGGUGCAUUAGCUAGUUGGUGAGGUAACGGCUCACCAAGGCAACGAUGCAUAGCCGACCUGAGAGGGUGAUCGGCCACACUGGGACUGAGAAACGGCCCAGACUCCUACGGGAGGCAGCAGUAGGGAAUCUUCGGCAAUGGACGAAAGUCUGACCGAGCAACGCCGCGUGAGUGAAGAAGGUUUUCGGAUCGUAAAACUCUGUUGUUAGAGAAGAACAAGGAUGAGAGUAAAAUGUUCAUCCCUUGACGGUAUCUAACCAGAAAGCCACGGCUAACUACGUGCCAGCCGCCGCGGUAA